rnacentral:ncRNA from 1 species
AUUCCGGUUGAUCCUGCCGGAGGUCACUGCUAUUGGGAUUCGACUAAGCCAUGCGAGUUGAGAGGGUUCGGCCCUCGGCAGACGGCUCAGUAACACGUGGAUAAUCUGCCCUUAGGUGGAGGAUAACCUCGGGAAACUGAGAAUAAUACUCCA